rnacentral:rRNA from 1 species
GACGAACGCUGGCGGCGUGCCUAAUACAUGCAAGUCGAACGGUCUUUUCUAUGGAAGCUUGCUUCCACUGAGAAGAUAGUGGCGAACGGGUGAGUAACACGUGGGUAACCUGCCCAUAAGAGGGGGAUAACAUCCGGAAACGGGUGCUAAUACCGCAUAGGUUUCUUGGUCGCAUGAUCGAGAAAGGAAAGACGGCCUUUGUGCUGUCGCGUAUGGAUGGACCCGCGGCGUAUUAGUUAGUUGGUGAGGUAACGGCUCACCAAGACGAUGAUACGUAGCCGACCUGAGAGGGUGAUCGGCCACAUUGGGACUGAGACACGGCCCAAACUCCUACGGGAGGCAGCAGUAGGGAAUAUUGCGCAAUGGACGAAAGUCUGACGCAGCAACGCCGCGUGAGCGAUGAAGGUCUUCGGAUCGUAAAGCUCUGUCAGCGGGGACGAACCGUCCCGUGUCGAACAGGCACGGGGCCUGACGGUACCCGCAGAGGAAGCACCGGCCAACUCCGUGCCAGCAGCCGCGGUAAUAC